CUUCAGUGAUGACACGAUGACGAGUCAGAAAGGUCACAUCCUGCUCUUGGUCCUUGACAGUGCCAUGUUUUGUGGUGCUGUUCACAGGUUCCUUUUGCAGAAGUGUGUCCUAUUCAUUGAUUGAUUUAGAGGCAUUUGUCUGAGAAGG
rnacentral:snoRNA from 1 species